AAUGAAAAAACAAAUAAACACUCAAAAAUACAAUCAUAAAGACCACACGUAUUUACAAUAAUUAAGAUCUAGUUUCCUCAAAAGUCACUUCCUUGAUAUCCAUGAUGCCAACAGAUGCAGGAAAAAAAAAAACUUUAAUCCCUCGCUCCGUCCCAUUUUGUUCGUCCGCUCUUUUAUUUUCAUUGUCCCAAAUUUCUGUCCAUUUUGAAAAUUAUCAAAACGUCCUAUAAAAAUAUACUCCAUCAUUUUACCCUUCAUUCUUGAUUUGAAGUAAAGUCCAAGAGGGCAUUUGUGAAAAGUUUUAAAGUUUUGGAAGCGUAAUAAUAAUGUCAACUUAAUAAGUUGAAUUCUCCAAAUGGGAGAAACAAAUAGGGACCGAAGGCAUAACAAAUUAAUUACCAAUACCAAAAUUCAAAUCAGAUUAAUCCGAAGAAAGCUCAAAAAUAGUUUAGGGUUUUGAGAGAGAGAGAGAGAGAGAGAGAGAGAGGGAGAGAG